GACGAACGCUGGCGGCGUGCUUAACACAUGCAAGUCGAACGGAAAGGCCCAGCUUGCUGGGUACUCGAGUGGCGAACGGGUGAGUAACACGUGGGUGAUCUGCCCUGCACUCUGGGAUAAGCCUGGGAAACUGGGUCUAAUACCGGAUAUGACCAACUGUCGCAUGGUGGUUGGUGGAAAGCCUUUGCGGUGUGGGAUGGGCCCGCGGGCUAUCAGCUUGUUGGUGGGGUAAUGGCCUACCAAGGCGACGACGGGUAGCCGACCUGAGAGGGGGAUCGGCCACACUGGGACUGAGACACGGCCCAGACUCCUACGGGAGGCAGCAGUGGGGAAUAUUGCACAAUGGGCGCAAGCCUGAUGCAGCGACGCCGCGUGAGGGAUGACGGCCUUCGGGUUGUAAACCUCUUUCACCAGGGACGAAGCGUGAGUGACGGUACCUGGAGAAGAAGCACCGGCCAACUACGUGCCAGCAGCCGCCGCCGUAA
rnacentral:rRNA from 1 species